rnacentral:tRNA from 1 species
GGAAGCGGUCCGUCGAGCCGACUCUCGCAGCAAUGCGGCGGUCUCGAAAACCGUUCGGGGUGCAAGCCCCGCGGGGGUUCAAAUCCCUCCCUCUCCG